GAUAAGUAAAUUGAAUUCACAACUUAUAACUCACAACUGAAGGUAAUCAAUUCAUAUUACAAAUAUAUUCAUGGUUUCGAAUUAACCUCUAACCAACAUAAAUUUAAUUACACAUUAUUCUAAAAUUAAACCAAAAAUUAAUCAUAAGUUGGAAAGAUUUAACCGAGAGAGAAGAGUGUUUCUGUCUGUGCCUUUGAACCCCUGCGAGCUGUUCUCUGUCCUCCUCUGUCGCUGCACAGCAGCUCCCUGUUUCCUUGUGCCGAGGCUCUCCUCUGUCUCUCUGUUUUUCCCCGCUGCCCUCUCUCUUACAUACGCUGCCCAAAGGCAGCUUUCUCCCUGCGUGCUGACCUCCCUACCAGCUGCAAAGACAGAUCUGCUGCUGUCCUUACCUCUCCAGUCACGCCCUCCUGACCUCUCACUCUCUCUUUAUUUCUGCCCCUGCGAAGCCCACGUCUCUUGCGUCUCUGCGACCCCGUGUCUAUCCCUCUGUCCCUCCAGGCGCUGCCUUGUCUGCGAGCUGCCCAAAGGGCCGCCCCUCUGUCCACCCCGCUCCAAGACCCCCCCCUUUUUCUCCUACCCGUGUCAGUCUUCUUAUUUCAUUCUUUUCCUCUUUUCACGCUACCCCCCGUGUCUCACGUUUCCUGCUUCUCUUCUUUUCCCCUGCCAAGGGCCCGUGUCUCCCUUGGAUUCUUCUUUUAUUUUUUCUUUUCCCCCACGCUCUUCUAUCUGUCCCGCUGUCUUCAUGCCCUCCUUUUGUUGUCAGUCUCAGCUGCAAGGGCAGCUGUCUGCCCAUUACCCUUUAAUUAUCCUGCUUUCCCUUUUUCACACGUUUCUGCGUUUUUUGCUCAUUCUAUUUUAUUCUUUCUUUCACACAAUUUUCUGGUCUCUCUUAGCUUUCUUUCUUCUCCUACAAACACAAUAAAUCAAAAGUAUCAUAUAAAUACUUAAAGCUUCCAACUAAAUUAGACAAGAAAAGAAAUAUAAAAGGAUGAAAUAUAUAGUUUAAAUAUUGGUUUAUCAUUUAGCGUCACAAUGGGUUAGCAAUAUUGUAAUUUAAAUUUGCUUUUGACGAAUUUAUUACAUAAAAUUUCACUUGUUCUAUUUUUAUUUUCUUUGCAUAACAAAUCCUAUAAACACAAAAAUAACGUAAAUAGCUCAAAAAUAUAAGGAACUAACUAAGAAAAGACGAGUGAAUUCGAAGUAAAAAUAUAUAUAAAUAUGAUCCGAUCAAAUACCCCCACACUUAACUUUUGCUAGUCCUCGAGCAAAACAAAGAAAACAAGAACAAGAAGUAACAAGAAAAACAUUAGCUUCCCCCUAUGUGACCCUCAUAGAAUUUCAUUUAAGAAAACAAAUCAUCAAGAACCAUAGCUAGCAUCAAGGAACUAAUCCAAGUUCAUCUUUCUUAUUCAAAUAUUAGCAGUAAUCUUUGAAUCAUCCUUGAAGUGUAGUGUGUGAGAUAGCCAUGCUAAUGCAAUUUCAAGUUUUUAUUUUUAAAAUCAUCAUAUGCAAACUAGCGACCUUCUCACUGAAUAUUCACUCAAUCACACAUGUGUUUAGUUUUAAUGUGUAUCGCUCAAAGAAUCAAAUGUGAAAUUUCUACCAUAAGCUUGCAUAAAGAUCUCAUCUCCACAAUCAUAAUUGCAAAACUUAAAUCAAGAGGACUUUUAUUGGAUGUAAUGAGGUUUAGGGAGAGGGUUAUUGAAAUGAAAGAAUAGGAAAACACAAGUUCCAAGCUACAUUGCAAGCAAUUCUUUUGUUUAGAUUUAUAAGAACUCAAGCUCUCCAACUAUUCUUCUGAAACCUCCAAUCACACCCUUAAACUGAAACUUUAAAAACAUUAUUUUUUUUUUCUUUUCUUCGUAUACAAUCUUUCUUUUUCUUUUUCUUUUUUUUUUUUUUUUUUUUUUUUUUUUUUUUUUUUUUUUUUUUUUUUAAUACAAACAUGAAAUACCCCCACACUUAUUUUUUUGCCAAACACCUUCAAAGUACUUCACAAACGUAUCUCAUAGGACAAUCUCGCAUUGCUCGCUUGGAAAGGGUAAGAAAAAUGUUUCAGGUAUAAGGGUAGACAUAUCUGGUGAUAAGAAAUAAAAGGCUCAACAUACACGGCUCAAAUUGGCAAUCUAAUGAUAUCAUUUUUCUUUGGGAAAACAUGGUUAUUUGGGCCAUAGUGGUAAACCUAAUGCCUCUAUCAUUUCCAAGUUCAUGCAAUCAAUGACAAACAUUUCGAAAGAUCGUUACGCAAGUUCUAGAGAUGUAUCUCACAUAAGUUCAUCACACAUGAAAGAAUAGGAGUGUAUGAAAAAUGCACACACUUUCAAUCGGCUCAAAAACUCACAUAGGAUGUAUAUGGUCACUAAAUUCACAUAUGAAGCUUUAAGUCAUACUUUAGUUUCACAUUAACAAGGCUAUGUGCAUUUGGUUUUUCAAAGAUGAUCAAACAUGUACAAAACUAACAAGAGAAUUAGGAAUUUCACAAAACACAUGUUAACUAAGUUCUUGAUAAUCAUGAUUCAAAUUUGAUCCAAUUAUAUCAUUGGGUCGGGAAACUAACAAAAAUCUAAUUCAAAACAAUAAGGGAAACAAGACAAUUUUUUUGGAUUUUUAAAUUUUCCGAAAUUUUUUUAAUUUAAAUUUUUUUUUUUUUUUUUUUUUUUUUUUAAAAGAAAACAAAACUAAUUAAGAACACAAAAAAAAAAACAACAACACAGUUUUUUUUAUUUUUUUUUUAAAAGAAAACAAAACUAAUUAAGAACACAAAAAAAACAACAACACAGAGACAAAUGAAAUUCUGGAGAUUUCUACCCCCACACUUAAACUUGACAUUGUCCCCAAUGUCAGAAAACACUAUAAUGCAAAUAAAAAUAAAAUAAAAUAAAUAAUAAGAAACAAAAUAAAACAAGUGGACUGAAAACUUCCCUAAUUUGCAGUAAAAUCAAGCGAUGACCCCCAAGCUAAAAUUCUGCAAUCAGCUUCAAGGGUGGAAAUAACCAAAAGUUCCUGCAAAGAAAAGGAAAAAUUCAGUUAAGUACGCAAGAAAAUUAAUUAAAAAAAAUUGCAAACGAAAAAUUGAAAAUUACGAUAAAAGAUAAUGAAUAAAACUAAUAAAUAAUCAUUGGUCGUGCUUGUUGACUUUCCACAGCUUUCCUCUUGAACAGGGUGACACUUAGCUUUUCACUUGCAAGUGAUGAUUUUAUGAUAUUGUACGGCGAAGCUUUGCUCUUUGGUUAUGUUGCAGUUCCUUAUUUGUUCUCCAAGCAGAUGUGGCAGCUUCUCUAGUUCCUCAGUUCGGACUCCUUCCGCUGGGAUGAUUGUGCAAGCUGCAUUCUUCUCUGCUUGUUUCUUCUGCACAACGGGCAGGCACGAGGGAAAGGUGUUGGUCCUUAUUUCUUUCUUCAAUCUUUCCAAGUGCCCACCUCUUGCUUUCUUUCUCCUUGUCCCUAGCUGAAUUGUCUCCACAUGCUUCGAGGUCUCAUUUUCACCUCCCUUACUUGUCCCCCAAGUAGAUGUGGUAGACAAAACGGAAGCAUAAGAUGAAGAAGAUGAGUACUCGAGAGCAAGGCUAGGUAAGCAAUCAGGAAAGGGUUCCAGGCAGUUGGCUCCAGAUUGGAAGAUUGAUACCAAAUGCUGGCUGAUUGCUCUCUUUCUCCUUGUCGGAAAAACAAAGACAAGGAGAAGGACAUGGAGAAAGCAUGAUAUGAGAUACUCUUGCUUUCAACCUUUAUGAUAUGAAAAUACUUUUUGCUUUGAAUGGGUUGUUCGCUGGAGUAUCCCAAGGAAUGAGGAACACAGAGUGACUCGAGAGGAUUCUUUGGGAAUGCAUUUUCGGAGAUGAAGAGGUGUUGAGAGGGUGUGCUGAGAGAGUGUGCUUUUGCUGUGGAAGGCGAAGGUAGAAACUUAUAGGACUUGUCUUCACAACCGGAACUGUUCUCUCACUCAUUGUCGGCAGCCGGUGGAUGGGUGAAGAAUACAAAUUACGCGCUUUCUGACAAAGCUGCCCGUAAUUUCCGCAAAGCUGAUUCCUCAUUGAUAUCUGUAAUCGGCGCUUCGAGCUCUGAGCAUCGUCGAUUGUAGAGGUAGCAUGUGACACGUGCGGAUAAAUCUGGAAAAGAAGAUUUUCCCGUGGGUUGAAGCCCAGCUUUUGAGAAAGCUAGCGUGUCUUUGACUGUUGAAUUUCCCUCUUCGAUUUCUGAAUUGGUGCUUCGACAAAUUGCCCGAGAUUUCCGCAAAGCAAUUUGCGUGUGACAAGUGACGACACGUCUGGACAAAUUGAUCUUUUGAAAUCCGGGGUUCGGCUCGUGGUUUCUGAGCAAGCCCAGCCUUUAAGAAAUGAAACGCCUCUUUUGAGAAAAGAAUCAGACGUUUGAGAACGGAGCCCCGACUCUUCGAUUUGCGAGAGGACGCUUCUCUGAGGAGCGCCUCUUUGAUUUCUUCCUUUUUAUAGAGACGUUAAGCUUGUUCCACAACACACUUGAGUACCCUCCUGUAAACACUCCCUUCUUGCACUUGUUUAAUCUUGAUCAUUCCGACUCUCUUCUUUCUUUACCACCUCUGAAAAAUGUCUGGCCCUUCUGAUCGUCGUUUUGACUUGAACAUUGGUGAAGAGGCAGCUCCGCCUUCACCAGACAACAUAUGGCGGCCAUCCUUCAUAUCCCCUACCGGUCCCCUUACCGUGGGGGAUUCGAUGAUGAAAAAUGACAUGACCGCUGCGGUGGUGGCCCGAAACCUUGUCACUCCCAGAGAUAACAGACUGCUCGCAAGGCGGUCUGAUGAAUUGGCGGUCAAGGAGUCUCUGGCUCUCAGUGUGCAGUGUGCGGGUUCCGUAUCCAACAUGGCCCAACGCCUAUAUGCCCGAACCCGUCACGUUGAAUCCUUGGUGGCUGAAAUACAGAGUCUCAAGCAAGAGAUUAAAGGGCUCAAGCAUGAGAAUAAGGAAUUGCACAAGCUCGCACACAGCUAUGCCACCAGCAUGAAGAGGAAGAUUGACCAGAUGCAGGACACCGAUGGUCAAAUUUUACUUGAUCAUCGGAGGUUUGUGGGUUUGUUCCAACCGCAUCUGCCUUCGUCUUCUGGAGCGGCACCGCGUAGUGAAGCUCUAACUGAUCAACCUCUACUGCCUCCUCCUUCUGUGGCCCCGCCGACUGCUGAAGCCCCGCCUACUACCGAAGCACCACCCGACCAAUGAAUACUAUUAGUUUACAUCAUUGUAAAAUAUUUGUACUUUUUUUUUUUUUUUUUUUUUUUUUUGCAUUAAUUUUAAAUUUUAUCUUUUUUUUUUUUUUUUUUUUUUUUUUUUUUUUUUAUGUAAAUUUUUUUUUUUUUUUUUUUUUAUCAUUAAUUUUAAAUUUUAUUUUUUUUUUUUUUUUUUUUUUUUUUUUUUUUUUAUAAAUGUAAAUUAAUGUAAAGAGACUUUGGUUAACCUUCCCCCACACUUAAACUAAAUAACACAAACUCACAGAAAUCAAACAAAUAACACAACUAACUAAACAAGACAAAAUGAAAGCAUUAAAGAUAAGGGUGUAAAAAUGCAAAUCUGAUUGGGUUAACGAUUCCAAAGUCUCCCUUCGUUGAAUGCUUGGGUUGCCUCCCAAGAAGCGCUUGAUUUAACGUCUUUAGCCGGACGCAUCUUUUCUUUAAAUUUCCCUCGGCUCCAUUUGAACCUAAAAUCAAAGAAAGAAAAAUAAAUCAAAUAUCAAAAGUAAAAUACACAAACACCAAUAUAAACAUAAACAAAAACAAAAAUAAAAGGAUUAGCAAAGUUGCUAAUCCCCGGCAACGGCGCCAAAAUUUGAUGCGUGAAUUUCUUGACACACAAAUUAAACCCUCUUUUUGACAAUUGUAGUAAAGAUGUAAGUAGGGUAUCGUUCUAGGCCGGGGAUUAGGAGGGAUUGCUAAUCUAUUAAAUUAACUUAAAAAUAUUAAACAAGACUCAAGGAUACAAAACUAGGCUAAAAACUCUAAUAACUCGAACACACUUAAAAUGACUCAAAAUAAUGAAAACAAUUAAAUUAAACACUAGGAACUGAAAUGGACGGAAAUUAAAUUAAAAGACUAACAAUAAAGAAAACUAAAUAAAUAAUUUAAUUUAAUAAUGGAUGGGUGUUUGGUUUUGACUAGAAGUAAAUUAAACUUAAAUAAAUUACAGAAUUGACAAAAACAUAAAAUUAAGGUAAAAUGAUAAAUGACGGACUAGCUAGAGGGUUCUUCUCCACACAUGUUAUACUUGCAUACAAAAUGAUUUCCAGUUGUUCAUUUAAUAAAUUGUGAAUUUCAAUACUCCAGAUUAACCGUGAACAGCACUUUUUUAAUCUUCAAGUUUUCCUUAAGUUAUUGAAUUGGACGGGAAAACGCAUACAACAAUUCAAAACAUUCUUCAAAAGUCCCCUACGUGAAAAGCACAAUAGAGAUACAAUCAAAGAUCAUUAAACUUUGUGAAAACUAUAAGCAUUGACGAGGCAUUCGUAACUAUGAAAAGCAUGAUACUCUUGCCAAGAAUUUACUUAACGUGAUUGUGACUAGCAACCUUUACUACUUGUGAAAAUAAGUUCAUAACGAUUAGGUGAAAUUCACUUAUAUUCUAGCAUCAAAUUCAUGCAUGUAAAUUAAGCGUGCACUCUCAACCAACAUACACAAAUCAGUUUUUAUACGAACGGAUAAGUAAAUUGAAUUCACAACUUAUAACUCACAACUGAAGGUAAUCAAUUCAUAUUAACAAAUAUAUUCAUGGUUUCGAAUUAACCUCUAACCAACAUAAAUUUAAUUACACAUUAUUCUAAAAUUAAACCAAAAAUUAAUCAUAAGUUGGAAAGAUUUAACCGAGAGAGAAGAGUGUUUCUGUCUGUGCCUUUGAACCCCUGCGAGCUGUUCUCUGUCCUCCUCUGUCGCUGCACAGCAGCUCCCUGUUUCCUUGUGCCGAGGCUCUCCUCUGUCUCUCUGUUUUUCCCCGCUGUCCUCUCUCUUACAUACGCUGCCCAAAGGCAGCUUUCUCCCUGCGUGCUGACCUCCCUACCAGCUGCAAAGACAGAUCUGCUGCUGUCCUUACCUCUCCAGUCACGCCCUCCUGACCUCUCACUCUCUCUUUAUUUCUGCCCCUGCGAAGCCCACGUCUCUUGCGUCUCUGCGACCCCGUGUCUAUCCCUCUGUCCCUCCAGGCGCUGCCUUGUCUGCGAGCUGCCCAAAGGGCCGCCCCUCUGUCCACCCCGCUCCAAGACCCCCCCCCUUUUUCUCCCUACCCGUGUCAGUCUUCUUAUUUCAUUCUUUUCCUCUUUUCACGCUACCCCCCGUGUCUCACGUUUCCUGCUUCUCUUCUUUUCCCCUGCCAAGGGCCCGUGUCUCCCUUGGAUUCUUCUUUUUAUUUUUCUUUUCCCCCACGCUCUUCUAUCUGUCCCGCUGUCUUCAUGCCCUCCUUUUGUUGUCAGUCUCAGCUGCAAGGGCAGCUGUCUGCCCAUUACCCUUUAAUUAUCCUGCUUUCCCUUUUUCACGUUUCUGCGUUUUUGCUCAUUCUAUUUUAUUCUUUCUUUCACACAAUUUUCUGGUCUCUCUUAGCUUUCUUUCUUCUCCUACAAACACAAUAAAUCAAAAGUAUCAUAAAUACUUAAAGCUUCCAACUAAAUUAGACAAGAAAAGAAAUAUAAAAGGAUGAAAUAUAU
rnacentral:lncRNA from 1 species